CUCGUGUACAUUCUUAAUCAGACAGCAUGGAUUUUACAAAGUUCUUACAAAUCGCAUUUUUCGUAUUUGCGUUGGUGUUCGCGUGCUGGGGUCAGCAAAUAAUUACACAACGAUUCGACACUGAGACGAAUUCAGCUCCCAUGCGCCACGUUCGACAAAUGUCCAUAUUCCAUGUGCCACAACGUCCAUCGCCCUGCGGCUAUACACAUAAUGGAAAACGUCGAAGGAGAUGUUAAAGUUGACGGCGAUAUAUACUUUGUGAUACGAUCAAAUAUCUACUUUACUUAUAAUUAAAUUAUAAUCUAGACUCUAGAGUGUAAGAAAGAGCGUGAGCAGAACUAUGUGCUGCUCUAUCAACACCAUGUCAUUCAUAUGUCCAAUCAGCCAUUCAUUCAUAACUUUUAUACAUAUAUUGUUGUUGUGAUAAAAAAAAUAUUAUAACUGUUAUCCAUGGGUGUUGCUGUUGUUUGUAUGUAUGGAAAAUAUAUUCUAGGAGAUCAUAUUUAUUUGUAUGGAUGGAAAAUAUUUUUUUAUUUUCAUUUCGUUUUUUUUUGCUUUUGUAAACAUCUCAAUGUAAAAAUGAUGCCCAUAUCACCAUCUCAUCGUGAACAUGAACCACAACCAUACUUUCAUUCAGCCAGUAAACCAGCCAUCCAUCUGUCCAUCCACUCACUCCAUCCAUUCCUCAGUAGGCAACAUUAUGCUUAUCAGUUGUUGCCUGGCUGUAAAACUUUAUGGUUCAUUUAUUUACACGCUAAAAUAUUUAAAUAGUGCUACAAAUUGAAAAAAAAAAAAAAACAAAAUUAUAUUUAUCCUAAAUUAAAACAACAAAAAUCAAAAACCGGAACUUCAAAUCCUACAACAACAAUGCAUUUCGGUGCCAUAUUACUAAUACUGAUCCUGGUGCUAACUACUCUGGUGCUCUGCGCUCAAAGUAAAUCUGUGAAUACGGAAUUUAUUAAAUCACGACAGCGAGUUUUGUCCACGAUGAAGGCCAAUUCCAAAUCCCGAAUAUUGAGUCCCAUGAUUUUGAAAGUGCCUAGGCAGCAUGAAUUUUGCGGCCGAACACACAAGGGCAAACCGUUACGUUGUAAAUAAAUAACAUUAGACUGCGAAUUGAAACGCAAAUGCACGAGACACCAACAACACCACCAUCAAAGGCUGGAUGGUGAUGGUGAUAAGAAUUGGGAAUCAUCUCAUUGCCAUUAAAAAAGUGCCAAUCGCCGCCUUUAAUCAAUAUAAUUUGAAUUUAGAUGCUAAGCAUGAUUAGCCAUAGAAUCGAUAAUAGUAUUAAACAAAAAUAAACAAAUUAGUUGUCUAAGUAGACUUAAGAGAUCUCCGGCCAUUUCCAUGGUGGGAAUUUAGAAUAUACUCAAAUUGAGUUGCAAAAUAAAUAUUUCAUAAAUGUAAAAAAAAAAACAACAGCAGCAGCCG